UUUAUGGAGAGUUUGAUCCUGGCUCAGGAUGAACGCUGGCGGCGUGCCUAAUACAUGCAAGUCGAGCGAACGGACGAGAAGCUUGCUUCUCUGAUGUUAGCGGCGGACGGGUGAGUAACACGUGGAUAACCUACCUAUAAGACUGGGAUAACUUCGGGAAACCGGAGCUAAUACCGGAUGAUAUUUUGAACCGCAUGGUUCAAAAGUGAAAGACGGUCUUGCUGUCACUUAUAGAUGGAUCCGCGCUGCAUUAGCUAGUUGGUAAGGUAACGGCUUACCAAGGCAACGAUGCAUAGCCGACCUGAGAGGGUGAUCGGCCACACUGGAACUGAGACACGGUCCAGACUCCUACGGGAGGCAGCAGUAGGGAAUCUUCCGCAAUGGGCGAAAGCCUGACGGAGCAACGCCGCGUGAGUGAUGAAGGUCUUCGGAUCGUAAAACUCUGUUAUUAGGGAAGAACAUAUGUGUAAGUAACUGUGCACAUCUUGACGGUACCUAAUCAGAAAGCCACGGCUAACUACGUGCCAGCAGCCGCGGUAAUACGUAGGUGGCAAACGUUAUCCGGAAUUAUUGGGCGUAAAGCGCGCGUAGGCGGUUUUUUAAGUCUGAUGUGAAAGCCCACGGCUCAACCGUGGAGGGUCAUUGGAAACUGGAAAACUUGAGUGCAGAAGAGGAAAGUGGAAUUCCAUGUGUAGCGGUGAAAUGCGCAGAGAUAUGGAGGAACACCAGUGGCGAAGGCGACUUUCUGGUCUGUAACUGACGCUGAUGUGCGAAAGCGUGGGGAUCAAACAGGAUUAGAUACCCUGGUAGUCCACGCCGUAAACGAUGAGUGCUAAGUGUUAGGGGGUUUCCGCCCCUUAGUGCUGCAGCUAACGCAUUAAGCACUCCGCCUGGGGAGUACGACCGCAAGGUUGAAACUCAAAGGAAUUGACGGGGACCCGCACAAGCGGUGGAGCAUGUGGUUUAAUUCGAAGCAACGCGAAGAACCUUACCAAAUCUUGACAUCCUUUGACAACUCUAGAGAUAGAGCCUUCCCCUUCGGGGGACAAAGUGACAGGUGGUGCAUGGUUGUCGUCAGCUCGUGUCGUGAGAUGUUGGGUUAAGUCCCGCAACGAGCGCAACCCUUAAGCUUAGUUGCCAUCAUUAAGUUGGGCACUCUAAGUUGACUGCCGGUGACAAACCGGAGGAAGGUGGGGAUGACGUCAAAUCAUCAUGCCCCUUAUGAUUUGGGCUACACACGUGCUACAAUGGACAAUACAAAGGGCAGCGAAACCGCGAGGUCAAGCAAAUCCCAUAAAGUUGUUCUCAGUUCGGAUUGUAGUCUGCAACUCGACUACAUGAAGCUGGAAUCGCUAGUAAUCGUAGAUCAGCAUGCUACGGUGAAUACGUUCCCGGGUCUUGUACACACCGCCCGUCACACCACGAGAGUUUGUAACACCCGAAGCCGGUGGAGUAACCUUUUAGGAGCUAGCCGUCGAAGGUGGGACAAAUGAUUGGGGUGAAGUCGUAACAAGGUAGCCGUAUCGGAAGGUGCGGCUGGAUCACCUCCUUUCU
rnacentral:rRNA from 1 species